rnacentral:rRNA from 1 species
UACGGAGGGGGCGAGCGUUAUUCGGAAUUAUUGGGCGUAAAGGGCGCGUAGGCGGCUCUAUAAGUCAAAGGUGAAAUCCCUCGGCUCAACUGAGGAACUGCCUUUGAAACUGUUGGCUUGAGGCCGGGAGAGGGUAGUGGAAUUCCCAGUGUAGCGGUGAAAUGCGUAGAUAUGGGAGGAACACCAGUGGCGAAGGCGGCUCACUGGACCGGUUCUGACGCUGAGGCGCGAAAGCGUGGGGAGCAAACGGG